rnacentral:rRNA from 1 species
GUGUCAGCAGCCGCGGUAAUACCAGCACCCCGAGUGGUCGGGACGAUUAUUGGGCCUAAAGCAUCCGUAGCCGGCCUUACAAGUCCUCCGUUAAAUCCAGCUGCUUAACAGAUGGGCUGCGGAGGAUACUAUAAGACUAGGAGGCAGGAGAGGCAAGCGGUACUCAGUGGGUAGGGGUAAAAUCCGUUGAUCCAUUGAAGACCACCAGUGGCGAAGGCGGCUUGCCAGAAUGCGCUCGACGGUGAGGGAUGAAAGCUGGGGGAGCAAACCGGAUUAGAUACCCCCGUAGUCC